GACGUAGGGCGCGAGCGUUGUCCGGAAUUAUUGGGCGUAAAGAGCUCGUAGGCGGUUUGUCGCGUCUGCUGUGAAAAUCCAGGGCUUAACCCUGGACCUGCAGUGGGUACGGGCAGACUGGAGUGCGGUAGGGGAGACUGGAAUUCCUGGUGUAGCGGUGAAAUGCGCAGAUAUCAGGAGGAACACCGAUGGCGAAGGCAGGUCUCUGGGCCACUACUGACGCUGAGAAGCGAAAGCAUGGGGAGCGAACAGG
rnacentral:rRNA from 1 species